rnacentral:rRNA from 1 species
GACGAACGCUGGCGGCGUGCUUAACACAUGCAAGUCGAACGAUGAACCCGGAGCUUGCUCCGGCGGAUUAGUGGCGAACGGGUGAGCAACACGUGAGUAACCUGCCCUUGACUCUGGGAUAACUGCUAGAAAUGGUAGCUAAUACCGGAUACGACCCUCGGUGGCAUCACCAGGGGGUGGAAAGAAUUUCGGUCAAGGAUGGACUCGCGGCCUAUCAGCUAGUUGGUGAGGUAACGGCACACCAAGGCGACGACGGGUAGCCGGCCUGAGAGGGGGACCGGCCACACUGGGACUGAGACACGGCCCAGACUCCUACGGGAGGCAGCAGUGGGGAAUAUUGCACAAUGGGCGCAAGCCUGAUGCAGCAACGCCGCGUGAGGGAUGACGGCCUUCGGGUUGUAAACCUCUUUUAGUAGGGAAGAAGCGAAAGUGACGGUACCUGCAGAAAAAGCACCGGCUAACUACGUGCCAGCCGCCGCCGUAA